GAUGAAGAACGCAGCGAAAUGCGAUAAGUAAUGUGAAUUGCAGAAUUCAGUGACUCAUCGAAUCUUUGAACGCACAUUGCGCCCCCUGGUAUUCCGGGGGGCAUGCCUGUCCGAGCGUCAUUACAACCCUCAAGCUCAGCUUGGUGUUGGGCCCCGCCGCCCCGGCGGGCCCUAAAGCCAGUGGCGGUGCCGUCCGGCUCCGAGCGUAGUAAUUCUUCUCGCUCUGGAGGUCCGGUCGUGUGCUCGCCAGCAACCCCCAAUUUUUUUCAGGUUGACCUCGGAUCAGGUAGGGAUACCCGCUGAACUUAAGCAUAUCAAUAAGCGGAGGA
rnacentral:misc_RNA from 1 species